rnacentral:rRNA from 1 species
GAAUUCGCCCUUAGAGUUCCCUUCUGGCUCAGGACGAACGCUGGCGGCGUGCCUAACACAUGCAAGUCGAGCGGGGAUUGCUCAAUGAAGUUUUCGGAUGGAUUUGAGUAAUUCUAGCGGCGGACGGGUGAGUAACGCGUGAGCAACCUGCCUAUCACAGGGGAAUAACGCAUCGAAAGGUGUGCUAAUACCGCAUGAGACCACAGGAUCGCAUGGUCAAGGGGUCAAAGAUUUAUCGGUGAUAGAUGGGCUCGCGUCUGAUUAGCUAGUUGGUGAGGUAACGGCCCACCAAGGCGACGAUCAGUAGCCGACCUGAGAGGGUGAUCGGCCACAUUGGAACUGAGAGACGGUCCAAACUCCUACGGGAGGCAGCAGUGGGGAAUAUUGGGCAAUGGGCGAAAGCCUGACCCAGCAACGCCGCGUGAGUGAAGAAGGCCUUCAGGUUGUAAAGCUCUGUUAUAGGUGACGAAGGAAGUGACGGUAGCCUAUAAGGAAGCCCCGGCUAACUACGUGCCAGCAGCCGCGGUAAUACGUAGGGGGCGAGCGUUGUCCGGAAUGACUGGGCGUAAAGGGCGUGUAGGCGGUCUUUUAAGUCUGGAGUGAAAGUCCUGCUUUCAAGGUGGGAAUUGCUUUGGAUACUGGAGGACUUGAGUGCAGAAGAGGUAAGCGGAAUUCCCAGUGUAGCGGUGAAAUGCGUAGAGAUUGGGAGGAACACCAGUGGCGAAGGCGGCUUACUGGGCUGUAACUGACGCUGAGGCGCGAAAGCGUGGGGAGCGAACAGGAUUAGAUACCCUGGUAGUCCACGCGGUAAACGAUGAAUGCUAGGUGUUGCGGGUAUCGACCCCUGCAGUGCCGGAGUAAACGCAAUAAGCAUUCCGCCUGGGGAGUACGGCCGCAAGGUUGAAACUCAAAGGAAUUGACGGGGGCCCGCACAAGCAGCGGAGCAUGUUGUUUAAUUCGAAGCAACGCGAAGAACCUUACCAGGUCUUGACAUCCAAUUAAACUCACAGAGAAGUGAGGUCUCUUCGGAGGAAUUGAGACAGGUGGUGCAUGGUUGUCGUCAGCUCGUGUCGUGAGAUGUUGGGUUAAGUCCCGCAACGAGCGCAACCCCUAUUCUUAGUAGCCAUCAUUCAGUUGGGCACUCUAGGGAGACUGCCGUGGACAACUCGGAGGAAGGUGGGGACGACGUCAAAUCAUCAUGCCCCUUAUGUCUUGGGCUACAAACGUGCUACAAUGGUGACUACAAAGAGGAGCGAGACCGUAAGGUGGAGCGGAUCUCAAAAAAGUCAUCCCAGUUCGGAUUGUGGGCUGCAACCCGCCCACAUGAAGUUGGAGUUGCUAGUAAUCGCGGAUCAGCAUGCCGCGGUGAAUACAAAGCCGGGCCUUGCACACACCGCCCGUCA